rnacentral:rRNA from 1 species
GACGAACGCUGGCGGCGUGCUUAACACAUGCAAGUCGAACGGAAAGGCCCUUCGUGGUGGGUGUGUGGGGAACGGGAGCGUGACAGUUGAACAAGCGGCCCCUGGCCCUGGGACAACGAUUGGAAACGGUAGCUAAGACUGAAUCCGGCCCGGCGCUGCAGCGGCUGUGGGUGGGAAGGAUAUUUGCGGCGGAUGGGGUUGGGGCCGCGGCGUAUCUGCUUGUUGGUGAGGUGGAGGCUGACCAAGGCGUCGACGGGUAGCCGGCCUGAGAGGGCGACCGGCCACACUGGGACUGAGACACGGCCCAGACUCCUACGGGAGGCAGCAGUGGGGAAUAUUGCACAAUGGGCGGAAGCCUGAUGCAGCAACGCCGCGUGCGGGAUGACGGCCUUCGGGUUGUAAACCUCUUUCAGCUCUGAAGAAGCGAGAGUGACGGUAGUAGGAGAAGAAGCACCGGCUAACUACGUG